rnacentral:rRNA from 1 species
AUUGAACGCUGGCGGCAGGCCUAACACAUGCAAGUCGAACGGAGCGGCAGUCGGGUGAGUAAUGCCUAGGAAUCUGCCUGGUCGUGAGGGAGAAGGUCCAGAAACGGGCGCUAAUACCGCAUCCUCUCAGAAGCGCCUAGGUCGGAUUAGCUGGUUGGGGGGGUAAAGGCCUACCAAGGCGACGAUCCGUAACCGGUCUGAGAGGAUGAUCAGUCACACUGGAACUGAGACACGGUCCAGACUCCUACGGGAGGCAGCAGGGGGGAAUAUUGCACAAUGGGCGCAAGCCUGAUGCAGCCAUGCCGCGUGUAUGAAGAGGGCCUUCGGGUUGUAAAGUACUUUCAGCGGGGAGGCGUUACCCGCAGAGGAGGCGCCGGCUAACUCCGUGCCAGCAGCCGCGGUAAUUC